AUGUUCCAGAGUUUCCAUCUCUGCCUGGGAUUAUGUACAGGGCAGUCAUGUGGAAGAGGGAUUGGGUGUAUUCUGUGUGGGCAGAACCGUGACCAAGAGGACGGGAAGCCAAGAGGAGAGAUUUUCAGAUGGAUAAAGAAGUUUCUCACAGCCGAGGAAUUAAGACCAAAUGGGCAGGUUUUCCCUCAGAGGCCCGUGCUCAAACCUAGCCUCGAACCCCAGAGCAGGACUGUGACCCACAGCUGGAAACCCCUCUUGACCCGUGGGGGCUGGUGUACUAAGGUACAAAGAGAGGGAAGAGCAACUUGCAGUGUGACACCUGCAGACUGUUCUCCCUGUUCUGGAAUCUUCUGGUCGGCCACAGGGGUGCACCCUAGGGCAGCCCGUAGCCAGCCCCUGCUAGAUCCUGGCUCCCUGCAACCCUCGAUGCUGAACUUUCCCGGGAUUCCUGCGGCGGCAAACAGCCCUGGUAUGUACCAUUUUAUUUUCACUCAAAACAUCCUUCCUGGGACCAUCCCAGCAAGCCGAGCAUACUAUUUUCAACUAAGGCCCUGGCAUUGUCUAGGAAUGUUUUCAGGGCUAAGCAAAUUGCUAAAGCAAACAUCUUAUUUUCGUCUGCAAGGACAGCCAAGCGCUGUAAAAAUACUUCCCGAUAGGACUUCCAGUGGAACUGCCCCCUCUGGUGGCGCCAUUGGCACCAGACACUCUGGCUCAGGAAAGAGCUCCUGCUGGACACCCAUGCUUCCCUUGAGGGUGGCUCCUGUGGCAGCUGCCCUGCUCUGCAGCCCCAGGGGGAGGCCAGAGCAGGCCCGUGGGCAGGAAGGGGCACAGGCCCUGCGGGGCCAGGAGCAGGAGCUCCCUCACCUCUCUGCUUUCCUGCUCCAAGGUACAGCCAGUUUUACACCAAAUCCCAUGCAUCCCAUUCCCAGGGGUGACCAGGGGGCUCAGCUGCCAGGUGAUGUGGGAAUGGAAGAAGAUAACCGGGUCUGCAGCUACAAAGCCUCAGGCCCCCACACCAAGCCAGAGGGAACUGAGGGCUGGUACCCCAGGCCAAACGGAGCCUCCGGGCAGCAUCCUGGACCUGUGAGCUGGCCUGCACACCUAGGUUCUCAAAUGCACACGGUGAGGUGCCAUCAUGUCACGGUCACUACACCUGCCACACCCUGA
rnacentral:lncRNA from 13 species